AUGUAGCGAGCUGAGUGGGGAGGAGAGAGGGACAGAAAGCCUGUUUGCUUUAAAGGAACCAACCGGAGCCACUUACACUCGUGUAAGCGGCUCCUCCCCUCUCCCGCUUUGCUCCUUUAAAGAAGCAGGCUAUCUGUCCCUCUCUCCUCCCCACUCAGCGGCUCUUCUC
rnacentral:miRNA from 1 species